rnacentral:rRNA from 1 species
AGAGUUUGAUCCUGGCUCAGGAUGAACGCUGGCGGCGUGCUUAACACAUGCAAGUCGAACGAUGACUUUUGUGCUUGCACAAAAUGAUUAGUGGCGAACGGGUGAGUAACACGUGAGUAACCUGCCCUUAACUUCGGGAUAAGCCUGGGAAACCGGGUCUAAUACCGGAUACGACGGAUUCCCGCAUGGGGGUCCGUGGAAAGCUUGAUGCGGUUUUGGAUGGACUCGCGGCCUAUCAGCUAGUUGGUUGGGGUAAUGGCCCACCAAGGCGACGACGGGUAGCCGGCCUGAGAGGGUGACCGGCCACACUGGGACUGAGACACGGCCCAGACUCCUACGGGAGGCAGCAGUGGGGAAUAUUGCACAAUGGGCGAAAGCCUGAUGCAGCGACGCCGCGUGAGGGACGAAGGCCUUCGGGUUGUAAACCUCUUUCAGCAGGGAAGAAGCGAAAGUGACGGUACCUGCAGAAGAAGCGCCGGCUAACUACGUGCCAGCAGCCGCGGUAAUACGUAGGGCGCAAGCGUUAUCCGGAAUUAUUGGGCGUAAAGAGCUCGUAGGCGGUUUGUCGCGUCUGCUGUGAAAGCCCGGGGCUCAACCCCGGGUCUGCAGUGGGUACGGGCAGACUAGAGUGCAGUAGGGGAGACUGGAAUUCCUGGUGUAGCGGUGAAAUGCGUAGAGAUGUGGAGGAACACCAGUGGCGAAGGCGACUUUCUGGUCUAUAACUGACACUGAGGCGCGAAAGCGUGGGGAGCAAACAGGAUUAGAUACCCUGGUAGUCCACGCCGUAAACGAUGUCGACUUGGAGGUUGUGCCCUUGAGGCGUGGCUUCCGGAGCUAACGCGUUAAGUCGACCGCCUGGGGAGUACGGCCGCAAGGUUAAAACUCAAAUGAAUUGACGGGGGCCCGCACAAGCGGUGGAGCAUGUGGUUUAAUUCGAUGCAACGCGAAGAACCUUACCUGGUCUUGACAUCCACGGAAGUUUUCAGAGAUGAGAAUGUGCCUUCGGGAACCGUGAGACAGGUGCUGCAUGGCUGUCGUCAGCUCGUGUUGUGAAAUGUUGGGUUAAGUCCCGCAACGAGCGCAACCCUUAUCCUUUGUUGCCAGCGGUCCGGCCGGGAACUCAAAGGAGACUGCCAGUGAUAAACUGGAGGAAGGUGGGGAUGACGUCAAGUCAUCAUGGCCCUUACGACCAGGGCUACACACGUGCUACAAUGGCGCAUACAAAGAGAAGCGACCUCGCGAGAGCAAGCGGACCUCAUAAAGUGCGUCGUAGUCCGGAUUGGAGUCUGCAACUCGACUCCAUGAAGUCGGAAUCGCUAGUAAUCGUGGAUCAGAAUGCCACGGUGAAUACGUUCCCGGGCCUUGCACUCACCGCCCGUCAAG